CCCCCCCCCCCCCCCAACAACUUUGCUUCGCACAGACAUUGGCAGCUCUCAGCACCCUCUGGUUCACAUCCGCUUCCCCCCCCGCCCCCCCCCCCACCUCUCAUUAGCGCGUGUGCUUAACGAGCUGUCUUAAAUCAGCCUUAGAGUCCACCCAGCGCUCCUCUGGGCUGGCACUGAGUGGGGCUGAGGGGUGAAGGAGGACCCCCCCCCCCCCCCCCCCUCCCCACCUCUCACCCCCCACUACGACCGCCGUUGGAGGGGGGAGAGGGGAGAGAGGCGACGGCCCCACGGAGUGCAAGAAUGGACCAACGUCUGUGGGGGGGGGGGGGGGGGAGGGGGGGGGGUUGGGGGGCACUGAUGGACUGCGUUGGUGGACUGGGAAGCACUGGGCUGGGAAGUGAUGGAGUGGGAAUCGAUGGGAUGGGAAGAACUGGGCUGGCAUCAAUGGGCUGGCAGUGGUGGACUGGGAAUCAAUGGGUUGGCCAUCAAUGGGCUGGCAUUGGUGGACUGGGCAUCAAUGGGCUGGAAGUGAUGGAGUGGGCAUCCAUGGGCUGGAAGUGGUGGACUGGGAUGAACUGGGCUGGCAUCAAUGGGCUGGAAGUGGUGGAGUAGGCAUCAGUGAGCUGGACGUGAUGGACUGGGAAUCAAUGGGUUGGCCAUCCAUGGGCUGGCAGUGGUGAACUGGGAUGAACUGGGCUGGCAUCAAUGGGAUGGCAUUGGUGGACUGGGAAUCAAUGGGCUGGAAGUGAUGGAGUGGGCAUCCUUGGGCUGGCAGUGGUGAACUGGGAAUCAAUGGGUUGGCCAUCAAUGGGCUGGCAGUGGUGGACUGGGAAGAACUGGGCUGGGAACUGAUGGACAGGGCAUCCAUGGGCUGACAUUGGUGGAAUGGGAAUCAAUGGGUUGGCCAUCAAUGGGCUGGCAUUGGUGGACUGGGCAUCAAUGGAGUGGGCAUCCAUGGGCUGGAAGUGGUGAACUGGGAUGAACUGGGCUGGCAUCAGUGGGCUGGCAGUGGUGGACUGGGAAUCAGUGGGCUGGAAGUGAUGGAGUGGGCAUCCAUGGGCUGGCAGUUGUGGACUGGGAAUCAAUGGGCUGGAAGUGAUGGACUGGGGAUCAAUGGGGUGGGCAUCAGUGGGGUGG
ensembl:lncRNA